AGUUGUCUAUCUCAUUUGUGGUUUGUUUCUAUUUAUCUGAAGAUUUUAUAUGAAUUGAUGUGCUAUUUUUUAUUUGUUAGGAUUUAGCAUUUGAUUUGUCCCUCUCUGCCCUUCUUGGGGACAACAUCUACAACUUUGGAGAGCUACUUGCCCAUCCUAUAAUCAAGAGCCUUCUGGGGACAAAAGUGGAAUGGCUUUACUAUAUUCUGCAGGCAUUCAAUUCUGGUGAUUUAGUGCGAUAUCAAGAAUUGUGUCGGGUGCAUAAUGCUGCUUUAAGUGCCCAACCAGCACUGGUUCAAAAUGAACAGAAGUUGUUGGAGAAGAUCAACAUUCUCUGUCUGAUGGAGAUUAUAUUCAGUCGGCCUUCAGAAGAUCGAACUAUUCCGUUGAGUGUAAUUGCUGAGCGUA